GGGGCUGUCCUGGUUUCGACGUGGGUUCGGGACCGGUGUGGUGCAUGCCGAGCUUGAGUGACGCUCGUAAAUCUCCAUUCAAAAAACUAACUGCAAACGACGAACGUUUCGCACUCGCCGCUUAAAUCCGGUGAGCCUUGCAACAGCACGCUGA
rnacentral:tmRNA from 1 species